rnacentral:lncRNA from 1 species
GAAGAGGCUCGCUAGGAGAUCAUAGAAUGAUUGAUGAUGAAUAUGGCAGAACCUCUGGAUGGGAAAGAGAUGAAGAUUACGGGCCGAGAAUGUCCCCUGGCCUUGAAGAAUGGAGACAUAGAAGUCGGCGCCACUCUCCUAGUAAAGAAUGGAAAAGACCUAGAAGGUUUGUCCGAAAACCCGUGGUUAAUGUUAUAUGUUGUUGAGGAUUCAUUCUGGUUUGACUCCAGUGGCUAAUGUCAUACUUCAUUUUUAUGCCUAUUUCUCUUUGUAGAAGCAGGACCAGAAGCCAGAGUCGCAGCAGAAGCAGGAGCCCGGGGCACUCCUUAAGACGAGAUUCAUCGACUUCGGAUAGAAUUAGAAAUAGAUCGG